UGCCUACGGGAGGCAGCAGUGAGGAAUAUUGGUCAAUGGGCGAGAGCCUGAACCAGCCAAGUCGCGUGAGGGAAGACGGCCCUACGGGUUGUAAACCUCUUUUGUCAGGGAGCAAGAACGGAUACGUGUAUCCGAGCGAGAGUACCUGAAGAAAAAGCAUCGGCUAACUCCGUGCCAGCAGCCGCGGUAAUACGGAGGAUGCGAGCGUUAUCCGGAUUUAUUGGGUUUAAAGGGAGCGUAGAUGGGUUGUUAAGUCAGUUGUGAAAGUUUGCGGCUCAACCGUAAAAUUGCAAUUGAUACUGGCA
rnacentral:rRNA from 1 species